rnacentral:lncRNA from 1 species
UUUAAGCUCAAGUAAAUUAGGUAUUAUUAGUUAACGCCUUUAUGGGUUACAUUAUCUAUUUCAAAUAAUGUUAUUUACAUUUUGAGUAAUAAGUCGUGAAGUUUUGUUAUUUGUACUGUUUGCGAGGACUAAUACUAUGACUCUUGAGUUUAACAUGAUCAAGCUCAAGUGAAUUAGGUAUUAUUGGUAAUGCCUUAUGUUGUAAUUUUCUCUUUGAAAUUAUAACUGGAUUUAAAUUUUCAAUAUGGUAGUGCUAUUUUGCAUUUGUUUUGUUUUGUUGCGAGGACUAUGGCUAUUGACUAAAGACUCGAUUGGAUGUACCCUCGUUAAUUGCGAUUGCCUUGUCCGAGGAUCUUUCAAAUAACAUAUUUUUCACACGUUAAAUAUUGAGGUACGUAACAUUUUUCUUUAAUGUGUAUAUGUAUCUUGGACCGUAAUUAACUUGAUUUGAAGUUCCCCGGGUUCAACUUUAAAAAGCUCAAGUAAAUUAGGUAUUGUUCGUUUAACGCGCUUAUGUGUACUUUAUCAUCUCUUUCAAAUACUGUUGAUUUGAUUUUUUUGAGUAAUAAGUAGUGACUGUUUUGUAAUUUGUUAAUGGUUUUUUGCGAGGGCUAUGCUAUUGACUUUGGGUGUUUACCAUGAUCAAUCUCAGUUUACUUAGGUAUAUUAGUUAUGCUUAUGUUGUUUAAUGUCUUUUUUAAAAUUAUACUGAUUUAAAUUUUAAGUAAUGAGUAGUACUAUUUUUGCAUUUGUUUUGUUUUGCGAGGACUUAUGCUAUUGACUAAAGGUACUCGAUUGGAUGUACCCUCAGUUAAUUGCGAUGCCUAUACUUAGGUAACUUUCAAAUCAUAUUUUUCACACUUUUUAAAUUUGACUUAUGGAACUUGCUUUAAAUGUUGUAUAUGUAUCUUGGACCGGUAAUUACUUGGUUUGAAGUUCCCCGGGUUCAACUUUAAGCUCAAGUCCAUUAGGUUAUUAUUAGUUACGCCUUAUGUGUUACUUUAUCUGUUUUUUAAAUAAUUUGAAUUUAAAUUUUUGAGUAAUAAGUAAGUGACUGUUUUGUAUUUGUAUUGGUUUUUGGGGCGAGGCGAAGCAUUGACUUUGGGUGUUUAAUAGAUCAGCUCAAGUUAAUUAGGUAUUAUUUGUUAAUGGCCGUAUGUUGUAAAUUUUUCUCUUUUUGAAAUUGUACUGAUUUAAUUUUUCCAUGUAAUGAGUAUGACAUUUUGCAUUUGUUUUGUUUUGCUAGAACUUAUGCUAUUGACUAAGGACUCGAUGGAUGUACCUCCGUUAUUGCGAUUGGCCUAUGCCUAGGUACUUUCAAAUACAAUAGUUUCACAUUUUUUUUUAAUAUUGCGGUACGUAACAUUUUCCUCUUUAAAUAUAGUUAUGUAUCUUGGACCGUAAUUACUUGAGUUUGAUGUUUUCCCGGGUUCAAGCUUUAAAGCUCAAGUAAAUUAGGUUUAUUAUUUACGCUUUAUGUGUUACUUUAAUCUCUUUCAAAUAAUGUUGAUUUGAAUUUUUGAGUAAUAAGUAGUGACUGUUUUGUAUUUGUAUUGUUUUGCGAGAACUAAUGCUAUUGACUUUGGGUGUUUAAUAUGAUCAAGCUAAGUUAAUGAGGUAUUAUUUGUUAAUGCCUUAUGUUGUAUUUCUUUCUUUGAAAAAUUUUGUUUUUUACUGAUUUAAAUUUUAAGUAUCAGUAGUGACUAUUUUGCAUUGUUUUGUUUGUGCGAGAACUUAUGCUAUUGACUAAGGACUCGAUUGAAUGUACCACCUCGUUUAAUUGCGAUGCCUAUGCCUAUUGUACUUUCAAAUACACAUUUUCACAACGUUUAAAUAUUGAGGUACGUAACAUUUGCUUAAAUGUUUGUAUAUGUAUCUUGGACCAUCAUUACUUGAGGUUUGAUGUUCCCCGGGUUCACUUUAAGCUCAGUAAAUUAGGUAUUAUUAGUUAACGCUUUAUGUGUUCUUAAUCUCUUUCAAAUAUUGUUGAUUUGAAUUUUUGAGUAAUAAGUAGUGACUGUUUUAUUUGUAUGUUUUGCGAGGACUAAUGCUAUUGACUUGGUGUUUAACGUGAUCAGCCAGUUCUUAGGUAUUAUUAGUUAAUGGCCCUUAUGGUUGUAAUUUGUCUUUUUGAAAUAUAUACUGAUUUAAAUUUUAAGUAAUGAGUAGUGACUAUUUUUUCAUUUGUUUUGUUUUGCAAGGACUUAUGCUAUUGACUGAAGGACUCGUUGGAGUAACCUCUUAAUUGCGAUCCUAUGCUAGGUCUUUCAAAUACAUAUUUUCACACUUUUAAUAUUGAGGUCCGUAACAUUUGCUUUAACCUGUUUGUAUAUUGUAUCUUGGACCGUAAUUAACUUGAGUUUGUGUUCCCCGGGUUCAACUUUAAGCUCAAGUAAUUAGGUAUUUUUAACGCUUUAUGUGUACUUUAUCAGCUUUCAAAUACUGUUGUUUUGAAUUUUUGAGUAAUAAGUAGUGACUUUUUUGGUAUUUGUAUUAUUUUGGUCGAGGACUAAUGCUAAUUGACUUUGUUGUUUAACAUGAUCAAGCUCAAUUUACUUAGGUAUUAUUAAGUUAAUGCCUCUUAUGUUGUAAUUUGUCUUUUGAAAUUAUACGAUUUAAAUUUUAAGUAUGAGUAGUGACUAUUUUGCAUUUGUUUUGUUUUGGCGAGGACCUUCAUGCUAUUGCCUAAAGGACUCGAUUGGAUGACCUCGUUAUUGGCGAUGCUUACUAGGUACUGACGUUCCAAAUACAUAUUUCCACAUUUGUAAUAUGGAGGUACUAACUAUGGUAUUGCUUUAAUGUUGUAUUGUAUCUUGGACCGUAAUUAACUUAGUUUGAAGUUCCCGGGUUCACUUUAAGCUCAAUAAAUUAGGUAUUAUUAGUUAACGCUUUAUGUGUUACUUUAUCUCUUUCAAAUAAUGUUGAUUUAAACUUUUGAGUAAUAAGCAGUGACUGUUUUGUAUUUGUAUUGUUUUGCGAGGACUAAUGCUAUUGACUCUUGAGUUUAACAUGAUCAAGCUCAAGUUAAUUAGGUAUUAUUAGUUAAUGCCUUAUGUUGUAAUUUCUCUCUUCGAAAUUGUACUGAUUUAAAUUUUAAGUAAUGAGUAGUGACUAUUUUGCAUUUGUUUUGUUUUGCGAGAAUUUAUGCUGUUGACUAAGUGACUCGUUGGAUGUACCUCGUAAUUGCCGAUGCCUAUGCCUAGGUACUUUCAAAUACAUAGUUUCACACUUUUAAAUAUUGAGGUACGGAACAUUUGCUUUAAAUGUUGUAUAUUUAUCUGGACAGUAAAUAACUUGAUUUUGAUGUUCCCCGGGUUCACUUUAAGCUCAGUCAAUUUUAUUAUUAGCCUUAAACGCUUUAUGUGUUACUUUAUCGCUUUCAAAUAAUGUUGUUUUGAUUUUUGAGUAUUACGUAGUGACUUUUUUGUAUUUGUAUUAUUUUGCGAGGACUAAUGCUAUGACUUUGGGUUUAACAUGAUCAAGCUCAGUCUACUUAUCGUAUUAUUAGUAAUCCUUAUGUUGUCAUUUGUCCUUUUUGAAAUUAUCUGAUUUAAAUUGUUAUAAUGAGUAAGUGACUAUUUUGCAUUUGUUUUGUUUUGUCCUAGGACUUAUGCUUAUUGACUCAAAUGACUCGAUUAGGAUUGUACCUCGUUAAUUGCGAUGGCCUAUCCUAGGUACUUCAAAUUACAUAUUUCCACACUUUUAAAUAUUUAGGUACGUAACAUUGGCUUUAAAUGUUGUUAUGUUAUUUUGGACUCUAAUUAACUUAGUUUGAAGUUCCCCGGGUUCAACUUAAAGCUCAAGUAUUAGGUAUUAUUAGUUAACGCUUUAUGUGUUACUUUAUCUCUUUCAAAUAAUGUUGAUUUAAACUUUUGAGUAAUAACAGUGACUGUUUUGUAUUUGUAUUGUUUUUGUCUAUUGGACUAAUGCGAUUGACUCUAGUUUAACAUGAUCAAGCUCAGUUAAUUAGGUAUUGUAGUUAAUGCCUAUGUUUAAUUUCUCUCUUCGAAAUUGUACUGAUUUAAUUUUAAGUAAUGAGUAGUGACUAAUUUGCAUUUGUUUUGUUUUGCGAGAAUUUAUGCUGUUGACUAAAGGACUCGAUUGAUGUACUCGUUAAUUGCAUGCCUAUUCUCAGGUACUUUUCAAAUCAUAUUUUCGACACCUAUAAUUUAUGAGUACUACCAUUUUUCUUUAAAUGUUGUAUAUUAUCUUGGACCGUAUUAACUUGAGUUUGAAUGUUCUCGGGUUCACUUAAGCCAAGUAAAUUACGUAUUGGUUAGUUAACGCCUUAUGUGACGUUAUCUCUUCAAAUAUGUUGAUUUGAUUUUUGAGUAAUAAGGAGUGCACUGUUUUGUAUUUGAUGUUUUGCGAGACUAAUACUAUUGAUUUGGUGUUUAACAUGAUCAAGCUCACGAGUUUACUAGGUACUAUUAUUUAUGCCUUAUGUUGUAAUUGUCCUUUUUGAAAUUAUACUGAUUUACAUUUUAAGUAAUGAGUAUGAAUAUUUGCAUUUGUUUUGUUUUGCGAGACUUAAUACUAUUGACUCAAGGACUCAUUGGAUGUACCUUGUUAAUUGCGAUGCCUAUACCUAGGUAUUUCAAAUAAUAUUUCACACUUUUAAAUAUUGAGGACGUAAGAUUGCUUGUAAAUGUUGUAUAUGUAUCUUGGAGCGUAUUAACUUGAGUUAAGUUCCCCGGGUUCAACUUUUAAGCUCUAGUAAAUUAGCGUUAUUAGUUAACGCUUUAGGUGUUCCUUUAUCUCUUUCAAAUAAUUGAUUUGAAUUUUUGAGUAAUAAGUAGACUGCUGUUUGUAUUGUACUGUUUUGCGAGGACUAAUGCUACUGACUCUUGAGUUUAACUGAUCAAGCUUCAGAGUUAAUUAGGUAUUAUUAAUUAAUGCCUUAUGUUGUAAUUUCCUCUUUGAAUUGUACUGAUUUAAUUUGAAGUACUGAGGUAGUGACUAUUUUGCAUUUGUUUUUUGUUUUGCUAGAAUUUUAUGCU